rnacentral:rRNA from 1 species
GACGAACGCUGGCGGCGUGCUUAACACAUGCAAGUCGAACGGAAAGGCCCUGCUUUUGUGGGGUUCUCGAUUGGCGAACGGGUGAGUAACACGUGAGUAACCUGCCCUUGACUUUGUGAUAACUUCAGGGAACUGGGGCUAAUACCGGAGAGGAUCUCCUGCUGCAUGUUGGUGGUUGGAAAGUUUCGGCGGUUGGGGCUGGACUCGCGGCUUAUCAGCUUGUUUGUGGAGUAGUGGCUUACCAAGGCUUUGACGGGUAGCCGGCCUGAGAGCGUGACCGGCCACAUUGGGACUGCGAUACGGACCAGACUGCAACGGGAGGCAGUAGUGGGGAAUAUUGCACAGCGGGCGGAAGCCUGAUGUAGCAACGCCGCGUGCGGGAUGCCGGCUUUCGGGUUGUAAACCGAUUUGGCCUGUGACGAAGAGUGAGUGACGGUAAUGGGUAAAGAAGCAACGGCUAACUACGUG